rnacentral:rRNA from 1 species
UACGGAGGGUGCAAACGUUGCUCGGAAUCAUUGGGCGUAAAGCGCACGUAGGCGGUCUUGUAAGUCGGAUGCGAAAGCCCUCGGCUCAACCGAGGAAGUGCAUUCGAAACUAGAAGGCUUGAGUAUGGAAGAGGGUCUCGGAAUUCCCGGUGUAGAGGUGAAAUUCGUAGAUAUCGGGAGGAACACCAGUGGCGAAGGCGGAGACCUGGGCCAAUACUGACGCUGAGGUGCGAAAGCGUGGGGAGCAAACAGG